rnacentral:rRNA from 1 species
UACGUAGGGUGCGAGCGUUGUCCGGAUUUAUUGGGCGUAAAGAGCUCGUAGGCGGUUUGUCGCGUCGGCCGUGAAAUCUCCACGCUUAACGUGGAGCGUGCGGUCGAUACGGGCAGACUUGAGUUCGGUAGGGGAGACUGGAAUUCCUGGUGUAGCGGUGAAAUGCGCAGAUAUCAGGAGGAACACCGAUGGCGAAGGCAGGUCUCUGGGCAUUAACUGACGCUGAGGAGCGAAAGCGUGGGGAGCAAACAGG